rnacentral:lncRNA from 1 species
CUGGGUCUGAGGGAGGAGGGGCUGGGGACCCAGGGCCCUGGGUUACUGCGAGGGAGGAGGGACUGAGGCCUUGGCUCCUGGGUCCCCCAGGUCUGUGGGUUUGGGGAGGUGGAGGACCAGUCCUUCUGCGAGCAAAGCAUCCCCCUCCUUUGAGAGUGGCCCUAUCCCAAAAGUCCUGACUCUUGGGGCCGAUGACUCAGCAGAUGGGAGAGAGGAGGGGGACAGCCUGACUCAGGGAUGGGAAAUGCUCCCGGUCUCCAGGGAGUAGAAACUGGAAUCCCUCCUCCAGGAUUGAUCGCAGCCCGAGCUGAGCCGGGCUCCGCGAACCCAAGGAUGCCCCCAACCCCCCUUUCCCCGCCUCAAUCCUUUAAGCUGCGUAAGGAUUUGGAGAUCGGCCUAGAGGCGGGUCCCAGGUCCCCCUCCUCCCCCCUUUUUCCCCGUUGUCCUCAAGGCUCUGUUUACAGGAGACGGGAGCCCUGGUUACAGGAGAGGAACCCGAGUGUCCGGGCUGAACCUCCUCGUCACGGCUUCCAGGAAGCCCCCACUCCCCCGCCCCUUGCGAGUGAGUCACGGGCGAGCAGGAGGCCACAACCGUGCCAGAGCCGCCCGCGGCCCGCCCAGCUCACGAGACCGGCCCGGGAAGGCCCCUCAGCAAGCGCCGCACCAGGGAUUCCCCCCCGCCGCUCUCGGACGAAGCAGGUCGACGUGGAGCCUGGCAGAAUCUCCCCACCUUAAUACAAGCCCGCAGCCUGCAAGAAUGAACUUUCCACCAUUAUAACUGCGCACUGUGGCAAUGAUUUCUACCCCCACAUUUUCACUCAGGGCAUCCAGCUCUCCAGCACCCCUUAGAAAAUAGUCUUCCUAGAUCUUAAGAGGGUUUUCACUUAGGGCGACCCUUUGAUAACAAAAGAUGUGCCAGUGUGGGGAAUGAUCCUUGAAAAUGUAGUCUGGGCGGGGUGCGGUGGCUCACACCUGUAAUCCCAGCACUUUAAGAGGCCGAGGCAGGUGGAUCACCUGAGGUCAGGAGUUCGUGACCAGCCUGACUAACAUGGUGAAACCCCCGUCUCUACUAAAAAUACAAAAAUUAGCUGGGCGUGGUGGCCGGCGCCUGUAAUCCCAGCUACUCGGGAGGCUGAGGCAGGAGAAUCACGUGAACCCGGGAGGCAGAGGCUGCAGUGAGCUGAGACCGCGCCAUUGCACUCCAGCCUGGGCAACAAAAACGAAACUCCAUCUCAAAAAAGAAAAAAAAAAGGAGGCCCGGCCGGCUUGGUGGCUCACACCUGUAAUCCCACCACUUUGGGAGGCCGAGGCGGGUUGAUCACGGAGGUCAGGAGAUCGAGACCACCCUGGCUAACACGAAAUGGGGAUUCGCCGUGUUGCCCAGGCUAGUCUCAGACUCCGAGCUCUAGUGAUCCGCCUGCCUUGGGCGCCCAAAGUGCUAGGACUACAGGUGUGAGCCGGGCAGGAGAGUAACUUCACUUUGGUUUCCUCCUGCCUUAAAUGGGCAUACCACCUGGCAUUAGGAUUAAUGUGCGUAAAGUACUUAGAACUCAGCCCAGGUGAGUUCUCCUUAACUCAGCCUAGAAGAGAUCAUCCGCCCGAGGGUGAGGGGGCUAGAGCCGCCCUGUGAAUUGGGAAAGGAGGCCCCUUUUCAGCCUUGCCAGGUAUCCUGGACCCCACCCAACCCACUCACUCACCCACCCAACCCCAGCAAGUGGGGAGAGGGAGAGCAGUCCAGGUCUCCUUAUCUGUCUGGGCUGUUUAGGAGUGAGACCACACAAGGCAGGCAGUUCUCAGAGAAUUCCCCUCCAAGGCCUGCUGGCUCUUUCUUGGCACUUUGCUCUGCAGAUUUCUUUCCGUAAGUGCUUAUUUCUCACAGUCUUUCUCCUUUUUGUCCAGUUUCUUUUUCUUUUUAAUUUUUUUAAAUAGUAUUUUUUGUAGACAUGGGAUCUCACUGUUGCCCAGGCUGAUCUUGAACUCCUGAUCUCAGGUAAUCCACCUGCCUCAUCCUCUGAAAGUACUGGGAUUGGCCGGGCUUGGUGGCUCACACCUGUAAUUCCAGCUCUUUGGGAGGCGGAGGUGGGAGGAUCGCUUGAGCCCCGGAGCUGGAGAUUAGCCUGGGCAACAUAGGGAAACCCCGUCUUUCAAAAAAAAAAAAAAAGAAGAAGAAAAAGGAAAGAAAAACACAAAAAGUGCUGGGAUCACAGGUGUGAGCCACUGCGCUCAGCCCCUUUCUGUUUCUUUUUGUGAUCCUCCCAACCCUCUUCUCCCUCUGAAUCUGUCUCUGGGACUGUCUCUGUCUCCCCGUCUUCCCUCCCUUCCUCACCCUGUCUAUCUCUCUCUGUAUGUCUCUUGGUGUGUGUGUCUCUCUCGAUGUUUUUCUCUCUGCCUGUCUGCCUGUCUGUACCCCUCUGCGUCUCUCCCCGCCCCCAUCCGUCUGUGUCGCACGCGCACCCCCAUCGGGCUUCUGCUCUUGUCAAUUGCCCCUGGGGCCCUGCCCCCACCUCCGCCCCAGUUUCCUUCUACAAGCCUCAGUCUCCAGCUUUGAAAACUGGGCAGGCGUCCCCCCA